AGUGAACGCUGGCGGUAGGCCUAACACAUGCCAGUCGAACGGCAGCACAGUAAGAGUUUGCUCUUACGGGUGGCGAGUGGCGGACGGGUGAGGAAUACAUCGGAAUCUACUUUUUCGUGGGGGAUAACGUAGGGAAACUUACGCUAAUACCGCAUACGACCUACGGGUGAAAGCAGGGGAUCUUCGGACCUUGCGCGAUUGAUUGAGCCGAUGUCGGAUUAGCUAGUUGGCGGGGUAAAGGCCCACCAAGGCGACGAUCCGUAGCUGGUCUGAGAGGAUGAUCGGCCACACUGGAACUGAGACACGGUCCAGACUCCUACGGGAGGCAGCAGUGGGGAAUAUUGGACAAUGGGCGCAAGCCUGAUCCAGCCAUACCGCGUGGGUGAAGAAGGCCUUCGGGUUGUAAAGCCCUUUUGUUGGGAAAGAAAAGCAGCAGGUUAAUACCCCGCUGUUCUGACGGUACCCAAAGAAUAAGCACCGGCUAACUUCGUG
rnacentral:rRNA from 1 species